GAUUUCUAAUUUUCACAACGGAACAUUUGCAUUUUUUUCAGCACCUGUUAAUGGUCCAGCCAAUGCGAAUGUUUCUGAUGUCACACAUGAAUCAGCUGUGGUAAGCUGGCUUUCUAUUCCUGUGGCGGAGCAGCAAGGAUUUCUACAGCAUUAUGUCAUUUGGAUAUCUGGACAGGGAAACACAAAGUUCCAUAAAGUCCCAGCAAAUAAAACCAGCUUCCUGAUCAAGGACCUCCACCCAGGGGCCUCUUACACUGUAUCUAUAUCUGGAAGGACAGAAGCUGGUAAUGGGCCGAACUCAACGGUGAAUUUUGAAACACACUCCAAAGAAAUGGGUUUAUCGUGGCAGGACCAAACCAUCCUGAUCGUCUGCGUGGUUGCCCUCUUGUGUACUAUAAUCUGCUCCGUAGCUGCCAGGAGGUGAGAUUGCCAUAACCCAGAACA
rnacentral:lncRNA from 1 species